CGCGGCCUAUCAGCUUGUUGGUGAGGUAACGGCUCACCAAGGCGACGACGGGUAGCUGCUCUGAGAGGAAGAUCAGCCACACUGGGACUGAGACACGGCCCAGACUCCUACGGGAGGCAGCAGUGGGGAAUAUUGCACAAUGGGCGCAAGCCUGAUGCAGCGACGCCGCGUGAGGGAUGACGGCCUUCGGGUUGUAAACCUCUUUCAGUAGGGAAGAAGCGAAAGUGACGGUACCUGCAGAAGAAGCACCGGCCAACUACGUGCCAGCAGCCGCGGUAAUACGUAGGGUGCGAGCGUUGUCCGGAAUUAUUGGGCGUAGAGAGCUCGUAGGCGGUUUGUCGCGUCUGCCGUGAAAGUCCGGGGCUCAACUCCGGAUCUGCGGUGGGUACGGGCAGACUAGAGUGAUGUAGGGGAGACUGGAAUUCCUGGUGUAGCGGUGAAAUGCGCAGAUAUCAGGAGGAACACCAAUGGCGAAGGCAGGUCUCUGGGCAUUAACUGACGCUGAGGAGCGAAAGCAUGGGGGGCGAACAGGAUUAGAUACCCUGGUAGUCCAUGCCGUAAACGUUGGGCACUAGGUGUGGGGGACAUUCCACGUUUUCCGCGCCGUAGCUAACGCAUUAAGUGCCCCGCCUGGGGAGUACGG
rnacentral:rRNA from 1 species